ensembl:miRNA microRNA 9-3
GGAGGCCCGUUUCUCUCUUUGGUUAUCUAGCUGUAUGAGUGCCACAGAGCCGUCAUAAAGCUAGAUAACCGAAAGUAGAAAUGACUCUCA